CUUCACCCUCUAACAAAACCUCACCCUUCACUCUCUUCACGCUCUCCACCCUCUGAAAAUUUCUUCACCAACCUUCGAUCUCCCCUACACGAGCGUCACCCCCACCUUCUCAACCGAUAAACCAAAACUCUAAGAACUCUGCAGAAAACUUUUCCCUGCAACCUGCAUAACAGAAAGCCGGUAUAACAGAGUUAUCACAAAAAGAACCUUUUUCUUCUUCCUCCAAUCCGCAACUUCAAUUCUGCUUUCCAUCUUCGAAGCUCCAUUGUGCCACGAGUACACUCUCCCUCUUCGCUCUCAGUUUAGCCGAUUCUGCAGGAACUCACAGAACGAACAAUCAACCACAACCACGACUUCCAGAACCAAGCGUAAAAAACUGAAUCAAAAAGAAAAUAACACAACAGAAGGAGAAGCGAAAUCGAGAAACAGACGAAGAAGAUUGGAAAGAGCGUAGAACCGAGUUGAACGUACCGAAAAAGCCGAAGCACAAGGCGAAUCCAGAGAAGUCAUAUUCACCUUCAACGACAACGCGGUGUACGGUAAGUCGUCAUUCUUCUUUGCUACUCGCAUAACAUUCCGGUUUGGGGCUUUGAUUACGACGGCAAGAUGAGAUUCAUUCGGUCGCGGAUGAGGA
rnacentral:lncRNA from 1 species